rnacentral:rRNA from 1 species
UACGAAGGGGGCUAGCGUUGUUCGGAAUCACUGGGCGUAAAGGGCGCGUAGGCGGCUUUAUAAGUCGGGGGUGAAAGCCUGUGGCUCAACCACAGAAUUGCCUUCGAUACUGUAGAGCUUGAGACCGGAAGAGGUAAGUGGAACUGCGAGUGUAGAGGUGAAAUUCGUAGAUAUUCGCAAGAACACCAGUGGCGAAGGCGGCUUACUGGUCCGGUUCUGGACGCUGAGGCGCGAAAAGCGUGGGGAGCAAACAGG